GGCUCUGUGGCUUAGUUGGUUAAAGCGCCUGUCUAGUAAACAGGAGAUCGCUAGUUCGAAUCUGGCCAGGGCCU